GACGAACGCUGGCGGCGUGCUUAACACAUGCAAGUCGAACGAAGUGGCGAACGGGUGAGUAAUACGAGGGUAACGUGCCCUCAUUUUAGGGAUAAGACUUGGAAACGGGGACUAAUACAGAUUAUAGGGGGAUGGGCGCGGGGCCGAUCGGCUUGUUGGCGGGGUGAUGGCCUACCAAGGCGGUGACGGGGAGACGGCCUGAGAGGGGUACCGGCCACUUAGGGACUGAGAGACGGCCUAGGCGCCUACGCGAGGCGGCAGUGUGUGAUAUUGCACAAUGGGCGAAAGCCUGAUGCAGCGUCGCCGCAUGGGGGCUUAAGGCUUUCAAGUUGUAAACCUCUUUCGCUAUCGAACGGGUAGGUGGAGAAGAAGCGCCGGCUAACUACGUGCCAGCAGCCGCGGUAAUUC
rnacentral:rRNA from 1 species